rnacentral:rRNA from 1 species
AUGGCCAAGAAGGGCUCAGGCACUGCCGCCUCUCUCCUGCUCUGCCUCGCGCUGGCGGCGCACACCGUCGUGGCUGCCAGGACCAUGCCCGCUGCAGCUGGCGGCGUGGCGGAGGCCUCACUUCCGGCCGCCGCCGCCACGGAGAAGGGCGCCGGCGCAGGAGGAGCGGGCGCAGCCGACGAGAAGAACCUGUUCGUGGGCGUGGGAGGCAUGGGGGACCUUCCGGGCUUCCCCGCCGUCGGCGGGGGCUACGGCGGUGGCUUCGGCAACAACGGAGCCGGCGUCUUCACCGGCGUCACCGGUCCGCUCGGCGGCGUCGGGGCGGCGUGGGGAGCGUCGGCCCGGUCGGUGGCGUCGGGGGAGCCGGCGGCAUCCCUUUCGGAGGCUUCGGGGGUGGCAGCGCCCCGUUCGGCGGGAUCGGAGGCGGCUACGGCGGCGGAGGCGCCGGCGGCGCCACGCCUUGAGUACGUCGCAGUGGUCGAGCUAGCAUGGGCGCUCUGGGCUAUGCAUACAUGUACGUGA